rnacentral:rRNA from 1 species
GAUGAACGCUGGCGGCGUGCCUAACACAUGCAAGUCGAGCGCGAUUAAGUGGAGUGAGAACUUCGGUUCAAGUGAAAUUUAUGAAAGCGGCGGACGGGUGAGUAACGCGUGGGUAACCUGCCCCAUACAAAGGGAUAGCCACUGGAAACGGUGAUUAAUACCUUAUAAGUCGGUAGUCUCGCAUGAGACAGCCGACAAAGAUUUAUCGGUAUGGGAUGGACCCGCGUCUGAUUAGCUAGUUGGUGAGGUAACGGCUCACCAAGGCGACGAUCAGUAGCCGACCUGAGAGGGUGAUCGGCCACACUGGAACUGAGACACGGUCCAGACUCCUACGGGAGGCAGCAGUGGGGAAUAUUGCACAAUGGGCGCAAGCCUGAUGCAGCAACGCCGCGUGAGUGAUGAAGGCUUUCGGGUCGGUAAAACUACUGUCCUAUGGGAAGAAAAAAUAGACGGUACCAUAGGAGGAAGCCCGGCUAACUACGUGCCAGCAGCCGCGGUAAAG